rnacentral:rRNA from 1 species
CCUACGGGUGGCAGCAGUGAGGAAUAUUGGUCAAUGGACGCGAGCCUGAACCAGCCAAGUCGCGUGAGGGAUGACUGUCCUAUGGAUCGUAAACCUCUUUUAUAAGGGAAUAAAGUGUGGCACGUGUCCUAUUUUGUAUGUACCUUAUGAAUAAGGAUCGGCUAACUCCGUGCCAGCAGCCGCGGUAAUACGGAGGAUCCGAGCGUUAUCCGGAUUUAUUGGGUUUAAAGGGUGCGUAGGCGGGGUUUUAAGUCAGCGGUGAAAGUUUGUGGCUCAACCAUAGAAUUGCCGUUGAUACUGGGGGGCUUGAGUAUGGUUGAGGCAGGCUGAAUGCGUGGUGUAGCGGUGAAAUGCUUAGAUAUCACGAAGAACCCCGAUUGCGAAGGCAGCCUGCCAAGCUGUGACUGACGCUGAUGCACGAAAGCGUGGGGAUCAAACAGGAUUAGAUACCCGGGUAGUC